rnacentral:rRNA from 1 species
AACGAACGCUGGCGGCAUGCCUAACACAUGCAAGUCGAACGAGACCUUCGGGUCUAGUGGCGCACGGGUGGGUAACGCGUGGGAACCUGCCCUUAGGUUCGGAAUAACUCCCCGAAAGGGGUGCUAAUACCGGAUAAUGUCUUCGGACCAAAGAUUUCUCGCCUUUGGAUGGGCCCGCGUUGGAUUAGCUAGUUGGUAGGGUAAAAGCCUACCAAGGCGACGAUCCAUAGCUGGUCUGAGAGGAUGAUCAGCCACACUGGGACUGAGACACGGCCCAGACUCCUACGGGAGGCAGCAGUGGGGAAUAUUGGACAAUGGGCGAAAGCCUGAUCCAGCAAUGCCGCGUGAGUGAUGAAGGCCUUAGGGUUGUAAAGCUCUUUUACCCGGGAUGAUAAUGACAGUACCGGGAGAAUAAGCCCCGGCUAACUCCGUG